UAGAAAUUUAAUUAAAAAUAUUUAAGUAGUAUUAGUUAAGAUCUUGAAAUUUAAAAAAUUUGGCGGUAUUUUAGUCUAUUCAGAGGAACCUGUUUUUUAAUCGAUAGUCCACGAUGUAUCUUACUUAGACUUGUUUUAAUAGUUUAUAUAUCGUCGUUUAUUGAAUAUUUUAUAAGAAUAAUAAUUUUCUUAAUUUUUUAUAUAAAAAUAUAUCAGAUCAAUAUGUAGCUUAUGUUUAAGGUUAUAAUGGGUUACAAUUAUUUUAUUAAUGGAUUUAAAUAUGGAAAUUAUUUAUUGAAAUUGGAUUUGAUAGUAAAUUUAUAAAGAUUAAUAGAUUGAUUAUAGCACUAAAAUAUG
rnacentral:rRNA from 1 species